rnacentral:rRNA from 1 species
UACGUAUGGUGCAAGCGUUAUCCGGAUUUACUGGGUGUAAAGGGAGCGCAGGCGGCACGGCAAGCCUGAUGUGAAAGCCCGCGGCCCAACCGCGGGACUGCAUUGGGAACUACCGGGCUGGAGUGCCGGAGAGGUAGGCGGAAUUCCUAGUGUAGCGGUGAAAUGCGUAGAUAUCAGGAGGAACACCGGUGGCGAAGGCGGCCUGCUGGACUGCAACUGACGUUGAGGCCCGAAAGCGUGGGGAGCAAACAGG